UUGCCUGAUGAACCCUAAAAUUCGCUGUGUUCUUUCCGAAUCACAUUGACGAAACAAAUUUUAUAUUCACCUUGGAGAACUGAUCC
rnacentral:snoRNA from 1 species